AUAUUGCUCGAUUGUGUCCCGCCGCAAGCACAGCCUCACCCAUAUACCCCUUCUCUGUCUCUCCAUUGUGCACAUCCACCCUCCACCGCCCCCUCCCUUCCUCCUUCCCUUUCUCUCGCACUAUUGGAGGCUACGUGUAGUGGCGGUGACCACCGGCCGGAGGUCUUGCGUGGUGGAUGGUUUGCUGUGAUGCUCGUGGCGCCCUCGCCACUUCGCCAGUCUUCUCGCCCUCCCGCCCGCUCACACGCCCCCCCCUUUCGUUUUCUUCUUUGAUGCUUGGCCUGUCCCUUCGCUUGCUUCUUCACCCCGUCUCACUCUCUCGCCUUUCUCCUCGCCGGCUGCGUCACUCUGUCGCUGCACGUGUGUGUGUCAACGGCACACACACGUCACGGCACUGGCGCAGACACCAUCAUUAUCAUCACGCGUUUGCAUAGUUUGAGUAUCUCGUCACCCUUCCUCUGCUGCUUUCGCCACCGGCCGCCGUGCGCGCGUGUCUGCGUGGGUGUGAGAGUUGACUUCGCCUACCCGCAGUAUAAAUCCAUACGCACUCACGCACGCCAAAGUGGAGCGCCGGUGCGCAGCCGCACACACAGACGCACGCACAGGCAUCGCGCUCUCCCUUGCUCAUUUUGUUUUCAUCGUUUUGUUGUUGUGCGUGUGCGUGUGUAAAAGGAGCACGAGGAAGCAGCGACCGAGAAAACGAAGCGCCGUCCCGCCUUCUCCCUCCCUCCCUCUGUCUGUCUCGCGCGCGCCGUCGACAAGACACGCGCUGGCGUGCACAGAAGUAGAAUAGACGAUACACGCACACGUGCGUACGCUUGUCGGCUGCGCCUCCCUUCUCUUUCUGGAACUCUUGCUUCGCUACCAUCUCCCUCUCGCUGUCUGAGCAUCGCCAUUUGGUUUCACUGCCACUCUGCUUCGGCGGCCUGCGUAG
rnacentral:misc_RNA from 1 species